rnacentral:lncRNA from 1 species
UGGAUUGCAAAUGUGAACUGAAUCUCUUGAAAUCUCUGGAAAACCUCAGUGAGAGAAAAGACACCUGCUUUAAGUUGAAGAACGUCUGUAUAUCUAUAUAUGUGGAGAGAGAGAGAUGGAUAGAUCGGUUUGUUCUGAACAGGAUGGCUGACACUUUCAAGUUUGGGAAUACCAUGCUUCAGAAAAUUGUGUCUGUAGUUAUCUUUCUCUGAGCACUGACUGAAGGAGAAUUAAGUUCUCCUCAUCGCAUAAAGUUCAUUUGUCUCAUGGAAAUUUACACUUUCAAAAGUUUUACCUCUCCAAGUUAAAUAUUAUUUUUCCUCAUGCAUCUUUAUCUUAAAAAGCCAUGGCCAUUAAUAUAAUGAAAUAAAAUCGCAUUUUGUUAAAACAAAU